GACGAACGCUGGCGGCGUGCUUAACGCAUGCAAGUCGAACGGAAAGGCCCUGCUUUUGUGGGGUGCUCGAGUGGCGAACGGGUGAGUAACACGUGAGUAACCUGCCCUUGACUUUGGGAUAACUUCGGGAAACUGGGGCUAAUACCGGAUAGGAGCUCCUGCUGCAUGGUGGGGGUUGGAAAGUUUCGGCGGUUGGGGAUGGACUCGCGGCUUAUCAGCUUGUUGGUGGGGUAGUGGCUUACCAAGGCUUUGACGGGUAGCCGGCCUGAGAGGGUGACCGGCCACAUUGGGACUGAGAUACGGCCCAGACUCCUACGGGAGGCAGCAGUGGGGAAUAUUGCACAAUGGGCGGAAGCCUGAUGCAGCAACGCCGCGUGCGGGAUGACGGCCUUCGGGUUGUAAACCGCUUUCGCCUGUGACGAAGCGUGAGUGACGGUAAUGGGUAAAGAAGCACCGGCUAACUACGUG
rnacentral:rRNA from 1 species